UAUAUUAGGUUGAUGCAAAAGUGAUUGUGAUUUUUGCCGCUACUUUUAAUGGCAAAAACUGCAAUCACUUUUGCACCAACCUAAUA
ensembl:miRNA